UUCGAAUAGCUCUUAAAAUUCACAACGAAAGUACUAAAGUACUAUAAGGAUUAAUUAAAAUACAACUUUUAGAAAGAGUAUUUGAAUUAACUUUUUCCUCGUCUACCAUACCUAUAAUCUCUAAUUUGCUAUAAUAACUGUUAACUUAAUUUAAUUUACUCGUUGUACCUUCAAUGAGGAAGUUCAGAGUUCAUAGCAGAAAUCCCUUUCGUUCAUUGUAUUUUAAAACCCUCUCUUUUCUUUUGUAAAAUAUUCUCUAUUCAUCCCAUGUGUGUUACAGUUUCAAUGGUGAUUACAGACAAGUUAGAGAGCCCAAAAUCUUCAGUAUAUAACUUGCUGAAUUGCAUAACAAAGGGCUUUAUAAUAAAAAGAUUUCCAAUACUUUUUAAAUGCGACUGGGCAGCUGUACAAUUGAAUGUUCAGCAUACCUAGUGCCUAGUGUAAACAUUUAUCGUGAGAAGACAAAUUCGAUGCGGUGGAAAUCGUAAAAAGGGCAAUCAUAAAUACAAAGAAAAAUACAAAA